rnacentral:rRNA from 1 species
CCUUCGGGGUGAGCGGCGGACGGGUUAGUAACGCGUGGGAACGUGCCCAGAUCUAAGGAAUAGCCACUGGAAACGGUGAGUAAUACCUUAUACGCCCUUCGGGGGAAAGAUUUAUCGGAUUUGGAUCGGCCCGCGUUAGAUUAGAUAGUUGGUGGGGUAACGGCCUACCAAGUCUACGAUCUAUAGCUGGUUUUAGAGGAUGAUCAGCAACACUGGGACUGAGACACGGCCCAGACUCCUACGGGAGGCAGCAGUGGGGAAUCUUGGACAAUGGGGGCAACCCUGAUCCAGCCAUGCCGCGUGAGUGAUGAAGGCCUUAGGGUCGUAAAGCUCUUUCGCCAGAGAUGAUAAUGACAGUAUCUGGUAAAGAAACCCCGGCUAACUCCGUGCCAGCAGCCGCGGUAAUACGGAGGGGGUUAGCGUUGUUCGGAAUUACUGGGCGUAAAGCGCGCGUAGGCGGACCAGAAAGUUGGGGGUGAAAUCCCGGGGCUCAACCCCGGAACUGCCUCCAAAACUCCUGGUCUAGAGUUCGAGAGAGGUGAGUGGAAUUCCGAGUGUAGAGGUGAAAUUCGUAGAUAUUCGGAGGAACACCAGUGGCGAAGGCGGCUCACUGGCUCGAUACUGACGCUGAGGUGCGAAAGUGUGGGGAGCAAA